rnacentral:rRNA from 1 species
ACUCCUACGGGGAGGCAGCAGUGGGGAAUAUUGCACAAUGGGGGAAACCCUGAUGCAGCCAUGCCGCGUGUGUGAAGAAGGCCUUCGGGUUGUAAAGCACUUUCAGUAGGGAGGAAGGUAGUGUAGUUAACACCUGCACUAUUUGUACGUUACCUACAGAAGAAGCACCGGCUAACUCCGUGCCAGCAGCCGCGGUAAUACGGAGGGUGCGAGCGUUAAUCGGAAUUACUGGGCGUAAAGCGCAUGCAGGUCGGCCUGUUAAGUCAGAUGUGAAAGGCCCGGGGCUUAACCUCGGAAUUGCAUUUGAAACUGGCUAGGGCUAGAGUCUUGGUAAGUAGGGGGGUUAGAAGUUUCAGGUGUAGACGGUGAAAUGCGUAGAGAUCUGAAGGAAUACCAGU